CACACCUGGGAUCCGAACCGGCUAACCCUGGGCCGCUGAGAAGCGGAGCAUGUGAACUUAACCGCUGCACCACCGUGCUGGCCCCUGAAACUUUCUUUGUGUCCUGAAGUGGCCUGGGAAUGCGCUAAGUCAGAGAUGGAGCUGGGGAGCCACAGGGCAGAACAUGGCGCCCGUGCUGGCUGGCUCCCCAACUGUGUACAGAUACCUCAUUUGCAGUUGCUUCAAAGGCCAGGCUUGCUGACAGUUAAUGUUAAGGGGACAUGAGCCAGGAGAUGUGGCUUCCAAGCUGUGUAACAGCAGGCAGCUGGGCUCUCCAACUCCAAGUUUUGGGAAGAUUCCACGACUUCCUGGGAAGAAGCAUUUCCUUAAGAUGCCUGUAGCCUCACAGAACGUCAGAGGUGGCCGUCCCUUGAGAACAUCUAGUCCAAGCCCCCAUUUUACAGAUGGGGAAACUGGGGGUCUCAGAUAGCAAGUUGUCCUCUAUAAUUUUGGCCAUCAAUCGAAAAGAAUUGCAGAAAAGUGGGGGCAACCACCUUAACCAAGUUUUAUUGAGCACUUAUUAUGUACUAUUCUGUAUUAUACUGUACUUAUUAAGAAUUCUACAUGCAUUAUUUCAUGCGAUCUUCAGAGAAAGCCCAUCAGGUGGGUACCGUUUAUCUCCAUUUUACCAAUGGGGCAAUGCAGUUUCCAGAGGAUGCGCAACUUUCAGAAGAACCAGCAUGCGAAUCCUUCCCAUCUGCGGCCAGUCCGCAUCCGAAUCACGGUGCUUUUCCACCUGCCCACUGAGGCUACUUUAACUUCCCUCAUUUUACAGGUGAGGGCACCUGUAACGCAAAAAGAGGAGCAGCUGGCCUAAGGCCACUCAAAUAAUUAGUGGAAAAUAUUGCUAUUGCUACUGAAAGUAGCUAACAUUUAUUGAGCUCUUACUGUAUACCAGAGAUUGCUCUGUGUGCUUUUCAUUCUCGUAUUUAAUUUUUACCACAAUCCUAGAAGAACGUUGGUACCAUUAGGUGAGGUAACCAAGGGCUGGGGAGGUUGAGAGUAACUUAUUCAGUGAUUCAUAAUUAGUAAGUCAGGAUUUAAGUGGAAGCUCCAAAAUUGACUGUCCUAAUUCGACUUAGUGAGGCCCAAUGUCUCGCAAUUCCGUAUACACAUCCGUUUUCAUAUCUCAUUUAAUCCUCCUGGUGACCCCUAAGGCAAGGAAUUGGGAAACCUGGAGAUAAUUCUAGCUCUGCUACUAAAUGCAUCUUAUGCUCUCAGGUGAGCCAUUCUCCCUCUGAGUGCCUCAGUUUCCUUAUUUGUAAAAGAGUUGUAGCAUCCUUAUUUAUGCCACAGGAUCUUGUGAGACAGUAAAUGUGCCUGUGCUUCCCUAGCUGAAAAGGGCCGAAUAGGGGAUUAUUCUGGUUCUUUCCAUCAGCUCCCUUUAUUCUUUGAGGUCUGGAGGCUUUCUCUGUUGCUCCAUCCCUUCAGAUCGCCACCAGAGGGUCCACGUUUGUUGUGAGUUAGAUGACAGCUGGGUUUGUAUUUGGUUCGGAUGGAGCGUGGCCUGGGUAUUAAAUGGCUGUCAGCGAGGCCUCCUUUCUAGCUGGCUCAGACGGACGAUGGGGCUGGGCUCCUUCCAGAUGUCUGGGGACACCUGCAGAGCGGAGCCGUGGGGCCUCCAACACUCAGUCCCCGUUCCUUUGUGCUUGAAGGAUAGCACUUAGAAGAUACUGGCUCCAACCUGAGGCAGGCUGAACUCUGCUUCAAAAUCCUGCCCCGCUUCUGUGAGGCGGGAGAAAGGCCAGGGCCCAGAGGUUUUGGUAACAAAUAACGCUGAGAAAUGGUGCGGAAUCCAGGUGUCAGGACCUCCUGGCCUCAUCAGCAGUGUGUUCUAAUCAUUUCACAGCAUUUGGCCAUUUGGGCUGUUGGCGUUUCUAGGAAAAUUCAUUUUAAUCUUAACCAGUCUUAUUGUGUUCUUUUUUAUCCAGAUAGGGAAUACUGUUUCUUUCUCCGGUCUACACUCAUUUCUUCCUUAUUUUAAAUCCCGCAGUACUUAACCCUCUCUGAAACCCAGGGGAGGAAAAUGACCUUUGAGAGCUGCCUCUUUGCGGGUCCCUGUGCUAAAGCUUGUACACAUGUUACCCCAUAUCAUUCCUGCAAAGACAGGCCGCUCUCUCCUUGUGGGGCUCACUCUCUCAUAAUGAUGGUCUCGCUUUUUCAGUCUCCUUUGCUGGCUCCCCUGAAGGUCAAGUGCCUGGGCUCUGUCAUAGUCCCUUUCUCUCUUCUCUAGGGCUUUGUAGGUGAUUUUAUCCAGACCUUGGGCUUUACCGUCUGUCUCUGUGCUGAUAACCCAAGUGUAUGUCUCCAGAUCCAGCUGUGCACCUGUGCCCCCCUGGAAGUCUAACAGGACGUCUGGCCUCUGCUGGCCUUCCCGCCCUCUCCUUCCAAUCCCCCCUUUAGGCACAAUGACCUCCCUGCUGUUCACCGAACCUGUCAGUGUAUUCCCAUCUCAGGGUCUUCACACCCACUGUUCCCUGUGCCUAGGGAACGGUUCCCCCCGCUAAUUUCAGGGCUGCCUCACUCUUCAUCCAGGGCACCUCCUCUGAACGGUCUGCUCGGACCACAUCAUCUGAGCCAAGCCCUCCGCAGGGCCCACCUUGCGCACUCUCUGCCCUUGUCCUGCCUUUUUUUCCUUGGUCAUAGCACUUACCAUACCCGAAAUGACACUGCAUGCUUAUUUAUAUUCUUGUAUGUGGACGUCCCUCCCCCUUGAUGUAAACUCCACAAAGGCAAACCCACUGUCAUGGUCACGGCUGGAGCUCCAGCACCGGGAACAUGGUGGCACAUGGCCUCGGCCCAAUGAGGGCUUAUAAAUUGUUGGAUUAAAGAAUAACAGGAGAGAAAGGUACCGUUCCCCCAGUUUUAUCCGUGGGGAAAUGGAGGCUGAAAGCUGCUGUAUGCCCCGCACCACCAGCCAUUUUUCCACUCAGAAAAGGUGUAGUAGUUUUAACCAAGAUCACUGCAUGAAAACAAUGCAUUCAGUUAUUUUGAUAAUAAUUUAUAACAAGGCUAGAUCUUCCUUGGCUGUCCAGAUAGCAAAACUCAGUAUGUGCCUGUCAUAGCAAUCCUGAUGAUGCAUAUUAUGACCAUAAUUUACACGUGUGACUAGGCUGGGUUUUUUCCUUCAAAAACACUUGCUUUUCUGACUUCACACUGUUGUCAUCCUGUGGUCUUGUUAUUAUUGUGUGUGCGGGAACUCGGCACCUAUAACUCUGUCAGCUCCAGGAGAUGACUGUCUGUCUAGGAAUCUAAAUACCUGAUGCAUCUGAAGAAAGUUUUAGAAGGUUUGCAGAGAAUGCUCUCUUUUAGAAGUUGCUCCUCGCUGUCCUCCCUGGAGGAUGGUUUGUGGUGCUGGUGUGGGUGGAGGGGUGAGCUGCCAUUGGCUGGGGGUCCCGGGGCCCGGCAGUGCCCUCUCUGGUGACACGCAGUUGGGAGACCCUCAGUCACUCGAGUGCUUUGGCAAAAGCCAGUUGUUUGAACAUUUAUGUCCAGUUAUGCGAGUAUACUUUCCAUUUCCAUUUCUUCAGCUGUGUGAUAGGAAGAAACCCCAGGAGAAUCCAGCCAGAAGCUGUUGACCUGGAUCAACGCCUUUUUUUAAAAAAAAAAAAUCCUUUCUCCUCUUGAUUUAGGAAGCCUAAACUCUGGAAAUAUCAUGAAUCUGGGACAGUUCAGGACCUGGACAUUCAGGGUACAAAACCCUCCCCCCAUGGUGUUGCCCAGCUGUUUGGCCCACCUGGCGGUUUGGCGCCCAACACGUGGCUCAGUUGCCCUGCAAGCCUUUUUCUUCUCUUUGGAUUGGCGACUGCCUCUGUCUCUUUAUAAGGACCUUGUCCCGCCCCCCUCUGAUUGGCAGCCCUGUAGGCACACGAAGACCGACCUUGAUUGCAUCUGUGCCUUCUGGUUGGAUGCUGCGUCCCACAAAGAGGCGUUCCCAUCUGGCUCGCCCAGCCUCCAGGUCAGGAUUAGGACCCCGGUGUCCUCCAUUCUGGCCCCAUUGAAAGCUCCUCCUGGACAACGACAGUUUCUUAUACUCAUAUGUUCCUUCUAGAUUUCAGCUCAGGACUGGCCACCUAUAGCCACUCAGUAGAGACUCAUUUGCCCAACUUCUUGGUUUAUGGCAGCCAGCUGCUCUCUCUGAGAUCCCCUCAGACUUUGCAGAGUCAUGGUUCCAUACCUCCGGGUAGACCGCUCCUUCCAUAGGCAUGGCGGGAGACCUCUGCAGGGACACUGUGCCCCACUGCAGUCGCUCCUAAUCAGACGUGUCUCAGUUCAUCCCGGAGGAGGGCGGGGCACAGACUGGGAGACAAGUGACCGCUCUUGGAGAAGCAGGGUGAUGCGUUCGUGCUCCUUUCCUUCCAUUCCAGCAAAAUUCUUCUGGGGUGUUCUUUUCCUGGUGAUUGAAUUUCACUGUCUCCCUCCUCCCCGCAAGCUCAGCUCUUGCUCCACGUUGCUCUGAAUUUACUACUCUCCAGGCCUCUCUGUCCUAUUAAAUUAGAUAUUACAAAUAUCCAUCAGCCGAUGCUGUUCAGGGGGUACAGUUUCCAGUCUGUGCAUGAACUGCUGGAUGCCGUGGCUUGGAUGGACCUGAAUUUGUCUACAGAGCUACACGAAAGCCUUGUGUUUUCAUCAGUCCGGGUGUCCAGGUCCUGUCACUCUACCUAGUAAAACACUCAACUCCCCGGGAAGGGCUCCGGGAAAGUAUCCGUGUUAUGAUCUCUUGGCGGGCCUGUAGCUCUUUAUGUUUUAUCUUCUCGUGGUGAUGGUGGGGGGCGGGGGGUGUGUGUGUGUGCAUUUAUGAUCAUUUUAUUAGCCUUUCCUCAAAGAUUCAUUUUUAUUAAAAACACAAAUAUCACUAUAAAUAUCUUGGGAGGGAGGUUGAAAGGGAUUUGGGGAGACACUAGGCAAAAGGAUUGGCUGCCCAAAGGUUUACCCUCUUGCUUAAAUGAGUGACUACAAUAUGCUCGAGGGCUUUUUCUCACAGGUAGCCUUGCUCAGUUCCCUUUCAGGUAGGGAGUGACAGCUGAGCGCACUGGCUUAAAGCCAAACGUGUCACAGGGGAAAAGGCAAGUUUAUGGGGGUUGUUUUAAGAAAAAUCUUGUGUUUAGAAAAAUCAUGUUCUACUUUGGCAGUUAUUUCCUACUCAAAUUUUUUUCUGUUUGUGCAUGUCUGGUUAUGUGGGCCAAUAAUUCCCGUGUUGUUUAAGCUGAGUUAAAGUGGAUUUCCUUUUCCUUGCUGCCCGAAGUAUCCUAAUUGGUAAAUAGAGGUAACAUGUGCAGGAGACUUGGCAGUUUGCAAAGCUCCCGCACAUCAGUGGUCACAUUUAAAUCUCACGACAGCCUUGAGGUGAGUACGCUUAGAUUCCUCCCCUCGGGAGAGAGGACCGAGGCCAUGAGGGGGUGGGAGACGCAUCCAAGCUCCUAGUUCUAAUAGGUGGUGGAGCAGGACUCGAACCCAAGUCCUUUCUUCUAUUUCAGGCUCCUCCUACAAUCUCACACUGUCUCUCAAAGAAAUAGGUUUGUUCAUUUAUCCAUCUAUCUAUCUGUCCAAAACUAUUCACUGAGAACCUGCUGGAUAUCAGAUACUGUCUGGAACGCCCAGUUUGGCAGAGAAGACAGUGAGUGCGUGGGGAGUUACAGUAAAGAGCGACAAGGGCUCAGGCAUCAGCACUGGGGCUCUGGAAAAACAAAGGAGGGACACCUGGCCUGGGGCAGUAGUCAGGGAAAGCUUCCUGGAGGAAGUGAUGCUAAAGGUGAGUUUUUUCCCUGGGUGGCACCACUUUUCUACCCACCCCUUAGAGAACUCUUAGUUGAGCUCUUUUGUCAAGAAAGUAGUGAGGUGGAGCUAGUUCAAGAAGGAAGGGCAUUCCUAGCGAUCAGGAGGCCUGGAGAAGGCUGUGAGCGGGUAGUGUGGGGAAAGCGCCCCAGACAGGAGUCAGAAGAUCUGGGUCUGGCCCUGGGCAAACGCUGUCUUUCUUCCAGGACUUGCUUUCUCAUCAAUGAUACAAAGGGAUUGGAUCUUAGAAGUUCUGAUCACACUGUCCCAAGCAGGCAACAAGAACAGGGCAGAUAGGAAUGUCAUCGGGGAGCUUGGGAGGGUGCUGCCCCGUCCCUUCUCAUAGCCUCCUGCCUUUGCUCCAGCUCUUCCUGCUGCCUGGAAGGCUUUUGCCCAUCUUGUCCAUCCAUUAACAUGUAACUCACUGCUUGCUCUGUUCUUCCUGUGUCCAGGCAGAUGUAGGGCUCUUCUCGGCUCCCACAGAGCCCUGGGCCGUAACAUGCUUGUCCCACUCAGCAUGUUUGGAUAUUCGCAUGCCUGACUGUCCCUUGGCUGUGCACUCCUUGAGGGGGGGCUGCAACCUUGCAUCUCCACGUUCCUAGCACACAGCAUCGUGCCUGGUGUAUGCGUGUGUCAAAGAACGAUGGCGGACUGCGGACUUGGUUUGAUCAUAGGUCUUCAAAUUGGAAGAAGUGCCAAAAAUGACUUGGGUAUCAGAAUAAGUGCUUCCAUGCCCAUUAUGCAGACAAGACUCUCAAGGCUCCGGGAGCUUAAAAGGAUUAUGGGAAGGACACGCCAGGUCUCCUGCUUUCCAGGACGACGGUUCUGCCCUUCCACCAAGACUCCAGCUUUCACUUUCAUUUCAUCCCUUCGGGAAAACGGAAGAGGGAUUUUCGCUGGUGUGAGCUGAAGGAGACGGGAGUCGAGACUGCCUGCUUUGCCCGGCAUUCCUCCAGACGCCCCCAUCCUUCUUCUCGCUGCUGUGCCGUCUGCAUGCACAUCUGGUCACAGCCGCUCUGCUCACCUGCCCGCAGUGCCUUCCCAGGAAGCACUUCCUACGUCCACCAGCACCAGAGAUCUAACAAAGCUCUUCCAAAUCACCAGCAGACCAUUUCGAAAAACAGAUGUAAUUAAUAUCUUGGAUAGCUAUAGUGUCUAUAAUUGUAGACUUAUAUAAUAAAGUUACAUAAUUAA